rnacentral:tRNA from 1 species
GGGGUGGUGCGGUCCGCCGGUCUGACCGCCUGGUUGUGGUCCAGGCGGUCGCGGGUUCAAGUCCCGUCGCUCACCCUA